UACGGAGGGUGCGAGCGUUGUCCGGAAUCAUUGGGCGUAAAGGGCGCGUAGGUGGCCACUUCAAGCGUGCGGUGAAAGUCGGGGGCUCAACCCCUGAUCGGCCGUGCGAACUGGGGGGCUGGAGCACUGUAGAGGCAGGCGGAAUUCCGGGUGUAGCGGUGGAAUGCGUAGAGAUCCGGAAGAACACCGGUGGCGAAGGCGGCCCGCUGGGCAGUUUUGCUGACACUGAGGCGCGACAGCGUGGGGAGCAAACAGG
rnacentral:rRNA from 1 species